rnacentral:rRNA from 1 species
UACGUAGGGUGCAAGCGUUGUCCGGAAUUAUUGGGCGUAAAGAGCUCGUAGGCGGUUUGUUGCGUCGGCUGUGAAAUCCCGAGGCUCAACCUCGGGUCUGCAGUCGAUACGAGCAAACUAGAGUGUUGCAGGGGAGACUGGAAUUCCUGGUGUAGCGGUGAAAUGCGCAGAUAUCAGGAGGAACACCGGUGGGCGAAGGCGGGGU